CAUCCCCUAGCAUAAGGGAGUCUGGGAGGGCAAAUAACUAGACUGUCAGACAUCUGUAGCUAGAGGCUGGCACCCCACUUCAAUGACCUGUGAGGCAGGACAGUCCUCAAACAGCUGGGGGAGGUUUGGGCACCAAGCAGUCUCAAGGAAUGCCAUGUGUCUGCCAGGGUGCCCUGGUCCAGCCCCUAGGUGUCAACAAGCACCAUGGGGUGGGGGUGGGAAGGGUGGGUAGGAGGUCCAGGGGGGCAGUGUGUAGACAAACACAUUGCUUGCCAACACGAACACCCACAGGCACGUUCAUCACAGCACUGCAUCACUGCACCCACUAUCCAGCAGAGGAAACCAGUGUGGAGAAGCCUCUGCGUCUGCUGCUGCAAGAUCUCAGGAGGAUACUGGGGGGAGCAUGCAGGGGUGGGGUGAGGUCUGAGGAUGGAGUUCCAGUGAUAGAUGGCAGGAUAAACUGCCACUGGCUGUGGGGCAGGUCCCGUAUCAAGUGUUGAAAUCUACCAUCUGAUUUAUCACUACAGUCCAGUGAAGUAGUCACGUUACACAGAUGGGGAAACAGAGGCAUGGGAAGGGUAAGUGGCUGGCCGUGGUCAUGGAUCUGAAGUGGGUGGUCCGACUCCACUGCACUGGCCCCUGCUCCUCAUGCCCCCAGCUCCAGCUCACUCAGGGCUCCCCACCUCUAUCACCAGUGCCAGCACUCCUUUGGCUGUUCAGGCUCUACACCUUCUGAUGAGCUCCCCUAGGCCCUGAUUUCCUCAGGGGAGCCCUUUGACAUACAUGCCUCCCAUCAGUGUGGACUGCUGAUGAGGGCGUGUUAGCCCUGCUCCCCCUUGUGUCACUCAGAAAGCAAAGUCCCCAUGAGCCCAGGUCCUGGUUAGGAUUGGGGAACCAAGACAGCUAAGGAGAUGCAGAAGUGGGCACUGGGGUGUUCACCCCCUUGGUACCCACCCGGGGGUGUGUCCAUCCGAUCAGCUUCCACAUCCCAGAAUGACAUGUCUCCAAGACUUGGGAGCAGCCCCUCAAAAGGAAGGAGAUGCUGGAUGGCUGAAACAGAAGGCCCCUUUGCAAGGCCACGAGCAAACGUUGUGCCAGCUGGUGGGGGUGCAGAGUGGUGCAGACAGGACCUCAUGGUGGUUCUCCAUCCCACCCCCAACUCACCACAGGCACCAGUGUCCAUCUCCAUGUUGCUUGGGGGGCAGUGAGUAGGAGCCUCCUAAAUGUCCAUCUCCGGGAGAGUGGGGAAGAAGGGGUGCACCCCCAUUAGGAAGAGCCCCGAACUCGAAAGUAACAUUGAGGGGUGCCUCCUUAUGAAAUAUUGCUAGAGCAUUAACAAGUCCUGUCUGAGGGUCACGUUGUAGAUGAAACCAUUUAACUAACAAUUGUUUAGAAGCCGUCAUUUACCACUCCUGCCAAGUCCCAGGUUAACCUGCAUAAAGCCGGUUCAGGUGUCUGUUUUUGUUCACUCUGAUAGACAAGCUACCCCCAGGUGUUAGGGUUUCCUGUCCUGCAGGGCGUUCACCAGUUUGCAUGCAGCAGCCACACUCUCCCGCCAGCCAGAUGGUCCCACUUCUUGCAUUCCUCUUCCUGGCGAGGUCUGGCAUUCUGGUCGGCUGUAAGUGAGCUAAACAAAACAGGGCUCUGCACAGGCUAUGGUAGUGAUGGGGAGGCAAGAAUGAAGAUAUGGAGAUCACAGACUCUGCAUGCGAAAAGCAGUAAGCAGGUAAACCAGCAACAUGCCCCGCAGUUGCCACCGUGAUCAGGUGCAAACCCCAACUCCGCUCCUUACUUGCUUGUGAAGGGGUGAAUAGCAGGAGUGCCCGGGUCCUUCCUCAUCGGGGUCCGUGCGGUGGGUGCCUGCUCACUGGUCCCUUGAAUCCAUUCUGAUCUCACUUCCAAGAUACACCCUUCAGCUACAUCCUUCUUCAUCUUUGUCACCUACCUGCUUAAAACCUACUUCUUGGCUCCAGGGACGGCACUGGGGUAUGAGGAAGAGCUGAGAACAGAGAUGUGUGAAGCCAGCGCAAUUCACCUCCACCAUAUUUUCUUAGCCAAAGCAAAUUGCAAGGCCACUCCGCAUCCAAGCCCCCAAUUCCUGAUGAGGGAGUCGUAGAGUCAUGUUGCAAAUGGUUGGAUGUGCAACCCCUCUGGUAAAUCCUGUCCCAUUUGUUCAGAAAUCUUUAAGAAGUACCUGCUGUAGACAGGUAUCGUGUCAAGUGGCCCAUGGAAACAGCAGUGAAUCAAGAAGUCCCUGUCUGGCUGAGCUGACACUCUAACCGCCCAGGGCAUGUUUGGAGGCAGAUGGUGGAGACCGGGGAGUCGGGAAGGUCGGAGGACAGGCUUGGGUGAGGCCUGGGGAAGACCAGAGAGGGAACAACCAGAUCCAAGGCCUGGGGGGCAGAGAGGGCCUGGUGUUGGGAGGAGGCCAGUGUGCCUGGAGCGAGGAGGGAGGGGAAGAUGAGUAAUGAACGCCUGGGCUGACAGGAGAGGUUAACUAUAUUUUCAGGACUCUGGGAAGCCGCUGGAAGGUUUUGGGAAGGCACUGCAUUAUUCUGUUUGUAUUUUAAGAGCAACGUUUUGGCUGCCAUAUGGCAAACAGGUGAUGGAGGUGGAGGGGCGGGAAGAGGAUGAAAGCAGGACAUUCAGAGGCAUGUCCUGCUCAGAGUUGAUAAGAUGCAGGUGAGGGUGAAUCCCUUCUGGGAAAAGAACAGUGUCCUCCACGUCCUCACUCAUGACCUUGGAUCCAACCAUGUCCCCUAGUCUCUGAUCAUGCAAACAGGAAGAUGAGUAGUACAUUGGGGCAUGGCUGCAUGAUUAAGCAAAUAGGCUCCAGAGUCCAAAUACCUGGAUUUGGAUCUGGUUAUUUGCUAUCUGUGCAAUUUUGGAAAAGUUACUUAACCUCUCUGAGUCUCCAUGCUUGUCAUUGGUUCCACAAGAGUGAUAUCUACCCCAUACAGUUAUCAGGAGAAUUCAGUGAGUUCAGGUGCACAACGUCUUUAGCACAUCACUUGGAGCCCAAUUAGUGCCUACGAUUACUAUAAAUACAAUUAUGAUAUUGGAUAAAGGCACCUUUUCACAGUGGGUCCCUUCCCCCUGCUGUAUAGGCAGAGUCUCAAUACUUAAUUAUUCUCAUGACAACUCCGUGAAGAUAUUUAUUAUUUUUUUAAAAUCAUUUCUAAAAAUAAGGAAAUCAACAGUUGGCUACCUAGGAAGUGGCAAAGCCGGGAUUCACUGGUUCUGGAGCUCUCUUUCUUUUUUUUUUUUUUUUUUUAAUUUUUAAUUUAUUCAUUCAUGAGAAAGAGAGAGAGGCAGAGACACAGGCAGAGGGAGAAGCAGGCUCACCAUGGGGAGCCUGAUGUAGAACUCGAUCCCUGGACCCUGGGAUCACAACCUGAGCCGAAGGCAGAUGCUCAACCACUGAGCUACCCAGGGGUCCCUGGAGCUCUCUUUCCAAUGUCCCUUUCUUGCACACCGAAGACACAGAGCAGCCUGGGGAAUGAGAGAUGCCAGGACAAUAAGGCAUGUAAAGGUGCUGAAUUCCAGGGUGGGGAGCCAGUUACAAGCCACUGACUAUCCCCUCGCCCCCAUCACAGAACCCACGGGGAAGUUUCAGGUUCAUCCUUUAAUCUUGAGCAUCAGAGGGUUUCUAAGGCAGGGGUUCCAAGUGAUGUAACAGGGGCUAAAGAAGCUGCAGAGACAGGUGAAGGAGCUAGAGGGGUGUACAAUAGGGCCUGGUGAGGUCUGUGGUGAUCCAGAAAGAACACACUCUAUCUGCUCCUCAGCCCUGGCAGGUGGACCCAGUGUUUACAGACCUCUGACACAUUGAGGGAAGCCAGAGAUCCAGAUCGUUAUGUGAAAUUCCUGAACUCUACAUGCUGGUGACUCAGCCUGCAAUUCUUCAAAAACACCACAGAGGAAGCAAAAACAGAUGAAAAGAAAACAUAAAGCAAACAAGCUAACACACCCAAAGCGUGCCCAACGGUCUGGUCAGGGCUACCUCUUUGCAACAUCUGACAUGAUUCCUCAGUUUACCAGUGAAGCAAUGGAGAUCCAAAGAUCUGUUGUGUCUCUCCCACAACUGCAUGGCAGGCCAGUGAGAUGUGAGGAUGUCGGAGAGAGGACGACUAGCCGAGUCCUUCCUUUCGGGAGUGUAGGGGUGGGGUGAAGUGGUGGACACAGAGGUGGAGAACCCAAAGGUAUUGGAACAACACUGAUCUUUGGGUUAUGGGCAGGAAAGGGAGUGAGGUCUUAAUCCUAACCAAGUUCCCAACCCCAUGGGGCACCUGGGUGGCUCUAUCAGUUGGAUGUCCAACUCUUCGUUUUGGUUUGGGUCAUUAUCUUAGGGUCCUGAGAUCGACCCCUGCAUCAGGCUUUGCACUCAGUGGGGAGUCUGUUUCUUCCUCUCCCUCUGCCUCUCCCCCUGCUCACAUGUGCAUGCACCCGCUUGCUCUC
rnacentral:lncRNA from 1 species